rnacentral:rRNA from 1 species
UUAGGAAUAUUAGACAAUGGGGGAAACCCUGAUCCAGCCAUGCCGCGUGUGUGAAGAAGGCCUUAGGGUUGUAAAGCACUUUCGUCUGUGAAGAUAAUGACAGUAGCAGAAGAAGCUCCGGCUAAAUUCGUGCCAGCAGCCGCGGUAAUACGAAUGGAGCGAGCGUUGUUCGGAAUCACUGGGCGUAAAGCGUGCGCAGGCGGUUAUGAAAGUCAGAAGUGAAAGCCCAGGGCUCAACCUUGGAAUUGCUUUUGAAACUCCAUAACUAGAGUACUGGAGGGGUUAGCGGAAUUCCGAGUGUAGCAGUGAAAUGCGUAGAUAUUCGGAGGAACACCAAUGGCGUAGGCAGCUAACUGGACAGUAACUGACGCUCAUGCACGAAAGCGUGGGGAUCAAACA